GACGAACGCUGGCGGCGUGCUUAACACAUGCAAGUCGAACGGUAAGGCCCUUCGGGGUACACGAGUGGCGAACGGGUGAGUAACACGUGGGUGAUCUGCCCUGCACUUCGGGAUAAGCCUGGGAAACUGGGUCUACUACCGGCUAGGACCACCGACUGCAGGGGUGGAGGUGGAAAGCUUUUGCGGUGUGGGACGGGCCCGCGGCCUAUGAGCUUGUUGGUGGGGUGAUGGCCUACCAAGGCGACGACGGGUGGCCGGCCUGAGAGGGUGACCGGCCACAAUGGGACUGAGAUACGGCCCAGGCUCCUACGGGAGGCAGCAGUGGGGAAUAUUGCACAAUGGGCGCAAGCCUGAUGCAGCGACGCCGCGUGAGUGAUGACGGCCUUCGGGUUGUAAACCUCUUUCAGCACCGACGAAGCGCAAGUGACGGUAGGUGCAGAAGAAGGACCGGCCAACUACGUGCCAGCCGCCGCCGUAA
rnacentral:rRNA from 1 species